rnacentral:rRNA from 1 species
GACGAACGCUGGCGGUAGGCCUAACACAUGCAAGUCGAACGGCAGCACAGAGGAGCUUGCUCCUUGGGUGGCGAGUGGCGGACGGGUGAGGAAUACAUCGGAAUCUACUCUGUCGUGGGGGAUAACGUAGGGAAACUUACGCUAAUACCGCAUACGACCUACGGGUGAAAGCAGGGGACCUUCGGGCCUUGCGCGAUUGAAUGAGCCGAUGUCGGAUUAGCUAGUUGGCGGGGUAAAGGCCCACCAAGGCGACGAUCCGUAGCUGGUCUGAGAGGAUGAUCAGCCACACUGGAACUGAGAUACGGUCCAGACUCCUACGGGAGGCAGCAGUGAGGAAUAUUGGACAAUGGGCGCAAGCCUGAUCCAGCCAUACCGCGUGGGUGAAGAAGGCCUUCGGGUUGUAAAGCCCUUUUGUUGGGAAAGAAAUCCAGCUGGCUAAUACCCGGUUGGGAUGACGGUACCCAAAGAAUAAGCACCGGCUAACUUCGUGCCAGCCGCCGCCGUAAUAC